rnacentral:rRNA from 1 species
GACGAACGCUGGCGGCGUGCUUAACACAUGCAAGUCGAACGAAGAGCGAUGGAAGCUUGCUUCUAUCAAUCUUAGUGGCGAACGGGUGAGUAACGCGUAAUCAACCUGCCCUUCAGAGGGGGACAACAGUUGGAAACGACUGCUAAUACCGCAUACGAUCUAAUCUCGGCAUCGAGGAUAGAUGAAAGGUGGCCUCUACAUGUAAGCUAUCACUGAAGGAGGGGAUUGCGUCUGAUUAGCUAGUUGGAGGGGUAACGGCCCACCAAGGCGAUGAUCAGUAGCCGGUCUGAGAGGAUGAACGGCCACAUUGGGACUGAGACACGGCCCAGACUCCUACGGGAGGCAGCAGUGGGGAAUCUUCCGCAAUAGACGAAAGUCUGACGGAGCAACGCCGCGUGAGUGAUGACGGCCUUCGGGUUGUAAAGCUCGGUUAAUCGGGACGAAAGGUCUUCUUGCGAAUAGUGAGAAGGAUUGACGGUACCGGAAUAGAAAGCCACGGCUAACUACGUG